CCUACGGGUGGCUGCAGUCGAGGAUCUUCGUCAAUGGGCGAAAGCCUGAACGAGCGACGCCGCGUGCGCGAUGAAGGCCUUCGGGUUGUAAAGCGCGAAAGUGGGGAGAAAGGGAAACUUGAUCGAUCCACAGUAAGGACGGGCUAAGUUCGUGCCAGCAGCCGCGGUAAGACGAACUGUCCUAACGUUGUUCGGAAUCACUGGGCUUAAAGGGCGCGUAGGCGGUCCGACAAGUCAGGGGUGAAAUCCUGCAGCUUAACUGCAGAAGUGCCUUUGAUACUGUCGGUCUGGAGGGAGAUAGGGGUGUGCGGAACUCACAGUGGAGCGGUGAAAUGCGUUGAUAUUGUGAGGAACGCCGGAGGCGAAAGCGGCGCACUGGAUCUCUUCUGACGCUGAGGCGCGAAAGCUAGGGGAGCAAACGGGAUUAGAUACCCUUGUAG
rnacentral:rRNA from 1 species